CCGCCCACCUGCGGCCUUUUACGCUUGGUCUCCGAGGGGCUUUGGCGCUGGCGGCGGGUCCUCCAGCGCAUGCUAGUGUAUUACCACGUGCGCAUAAUAAGGGGCAGGCUCCUGGAAGCCGGAUCCUCCGCCAUCUCGGGCCAAGCCUGGGUUCAAGCCGGUGUUUGAGGUCUCCCGGGUCUGUCGUUCCUCUCGCUGAACAAAGGGUUUCUGGUGACCAGAAUGGAACCCUCUGGGACACCCAACUCACUCCAGAGCCCACAGACAGCAUCCUGGGAAAGCUGGCGGAAGCUGACAAAGGAUUUGAAAACCGAGUCAGCUUGUGGGUUGCUUCCUCCCUGUCAAAAAGGUGGCUUGAUAAUUAGCUUUGCCAUUACAAGGCAAGGAGAGAAGACAGUCAUGUCCAUCCCUGUCACUGGACCCCUGUGGUCAGCUGGUGUUGGCAGUUGAAAGGGUGCUCCUGGAAGACUCCGACCUAGAUGAAAAAGUGGCCUGGCUGUUGGGCCAGAAGCCCUCUCUGUCGUUGAGGUUCACUCCCAGUGGCCGGAAAUGCCACCGAGAGAUGCGCGCUGCGUGGGGGUUCUGAACGAUCGGCUUCAGCACCCGGCCCAGGUGGACAGCGACGAGCGCAGCAGCCCGCCUCACCCUCCCUGCGCGGCCACUGCGCGCGCCUCGCCUCUGACCCCUGCCAGCAGCGUGCCCAGCGCCACGUCCAGCGCCAGCACCUCGGCGCUGUCUGGCCACGCGAUCGCCUUGUACAUCUCCCUGUGCCUCCUUGCCCAGGCCUGCCAGGAGCUGUGUGCGCGUGUCCAGAGCUGCAGCUGCUCCCCAAGGCAGGGCUCCCUAUGUGGCCCCCUCUGUUGCCUCUCUCAGGGCUUCUAGGCACGUCCGUGGGGAGGCAGCAAGAACAUGUAAAAACUUCCCCAAGCUGGUGCUGAUAAGUAUACCCCUUCACGUCAUAAAGGGCUCUAGUCCCCGUUGAAGUCUGUCUUGCUUCUGGAGAUUUUCUAAAACCCUGUUUUGUUUUAAAAUGCAUUCAUCCUGUUUUGUAAUUAUAUGUAUUUCUGGUAACUUUUUAUUUCAUGCUGGUCUUCACUCCAAGUUUUUAGCACAGCUUGAAUUUGUGUAACUCAAAUGAAUAUAAAAUGAAAGUGAAAGUUACUCAGUCGCGUCCAAGUCUUUGCUACCCCAUGGACUGUAUAGUCCAUGGAAUUCUCCAGGCCAGAAAACUGGAGUGGCUAGGCUUUCCCUUCUCCAGGGGAUCUUCCCAACCCAGGGAUUGAACCCAGGUCUUCCACACUGCAGGUGGAUUCUUUACCAGCUAAGCCGCAAGGGAAGCC
ensembl:lncRNA